UCUCUGCUAGUAUAUCGGUUAGUACACGCGCCUGUCACUGACUACUACUUUGUUUCCGCGCGAAAGCUGGGUUCGACUCCCAGGCAGAGAG